CCGGGUUGCUUGGUAACUGUUGCGCGCGCUCUCUCAGGACAGGGAGAGGGUGGCCGCGGCUGCAGUGCCCGCGGGACUGAGUCGUGCAGCCUUUCCUGCACCCUGAUGUCGAAGGAUGUGGCCAAAGGCGACAGAGAGGGAGAGGGGAGCAAAUCCUGCAAGACCAGGUCCAUCGGGGAAUUAGUCCUGCCCGGGGGCCCUGUGCGUGAGGCGAGGCAUGUGAAGCAAGCGUCGAAGGCAACCCCGGUCAAACACAGGAAGCAGGAAGGGCUGAAGCGGACCAGUGUGGCCGUGCUGAAGUAUAACCCAGGUUUAGCCAAAUCCCGCCAAACCGACAAUCGCAAGGGUCCCUCCAAGAAAAGCUCCUCCAAAGACACUGGCGAGUCUCCGCUCUGGAGCAAUGUACACGGUGGCACAGAGGUAUACUUCACCGGCCAUGCAAUCAGACAUUUACAACCAAGAUCUCAGAGUUCUCCUGAUAAACGCCUAGAUUCGAAAUCCUCAUUGAAAAGACCAAAUCAAUUACAGACCAAGUCCCAGCAGCAAAAAACAACCAUCCCACCGCCAGCACCUUGCCCACAACCUUGGCCUCUUGUUAAGAAAUCAGGUGCCUCAACAGAUGCCCUCAACCCUCUGUGAGGUGGCUAUGUGAAGGACAAGGCCCGGAUUAGGGUGAUAUCAGCCCUCCUUUCUUCUCACCCCAUAGAUGGUCCCAAGCAGGAAGACAUUAAAGUGUAUCGUGGACGUUGGCGAUGUCUUCAAUACCUCUGGGACCAGAUUUGCUGCCAGCCCCAGAAGAAAACAACUAUUUUGUAUGAAUGAACAAUUCCAAUGGAGUAUCGUAUUGCUAAGUAAAGACUGAGAAGGUGAUAACUAUGUGAAACUUCAAGAUCCAAAUCCAUAGGAGCCAAAGAGUGGGCUAAAGCAGUCAAUCCAGAAUUGCUGCUGAAGCUAGGACCUGCAGAGUUCAUAUGGAAAUAUUGACUCCAACAAUGCCGUAAACAACUGCUACUCUGGUAUUAUUACUGAAUAUGAAUGAGGUUUUUAAGCUCCUAGCUGUAUAUCUGGAGACAAGACAAUAAAGGAUGAUUCAAAAAGGUCCAGUGUGGGCUUUGUGAAAGGUGGAUAACUUGGACAGUUUGAGAUAUUCAUUGUAUGAGACAGUGAUCCCUAUGUUAAUACUUCGAUCCGACAUACAUUGUGCUGACUAACCAGACCAUGAGCAUCUCUGUCCCAGCAGGCAUCAUGCCCAAGUGAUGUAAGCAUGGUUUUUGUUGAGGUUUAUCCUGACUCUAUGCCCUGGGACACACACUGAGACAAACAUGAACUGCAUAUGGAGGACCAUCAACUCGGUGCAUGACGCUCUUUGGUCUGUCCGAAACCUGUUGGUCUUUCAGAACAAGGAGUUCACCUUGACCGAGCAUUGCAGGCUGUCACAUUCCAAGAUCUAGAGCAAUGUGCUGAGGGCUGCAGUAAAGUUUGGAGCAUUAGGGAAAAACCAGUGUCUAAGGUCUUCCUGCUGAAGUUAAAGGGGGGGGGGGAUAUGUUGUUAUCAGACCCCCC